rnacentral:rRNA from 1 species
GAUGGACGCUGGCGGCGUGCCUAAUACAUGCAAGUCGAGCGAACGGACGAGAAGCUUGCUUCUCUGAUGUUAGCGGCGGACGGGUGAGUAACACGUGGAUAACCUACCUAUAAGACUGGGAUAACUUCGGGAAACCGGAGCUAAUACCGGAUAAUAUUUUGAACCGCAUGGUUCAAAAGUGAAAGACGGUUUUGCUGUCACUUAUAGAUGGAUCCGCGCUGCAUUAGCUAGUUGGUAAGGUAACGGCUUACCAAGGCAACGAUGCAUAGCCGACCUGAGAGGGUGAUCGGCCACACUGGAACUGAGACACGGUCCAGACUCCUACGGGAGGCAGCAGUAGGGAAUCUUCCGCAAUGGGCGAAAGCCUGACGGAGCAACGCCGCGUGAGUGAUGAAGGUCUUCGGAUCGUAAAACUCUGUUAUUAGGGAAGAACAUAUGUGUAAGUAACUGUGCACAUCUUGACGGUACCUAAUCAGAAAGCCACGGCUAACUACGUG